UACGUAGGGCGCAAGCGUUGUCCGGAAUUAUUGGGCGUAAAGAGCUCGUAGGCGGUUUGUCGCGUCUGUCGUGAAAGCUUGGGGCUUAACCCCAAGUCUGCGGUGGAUACGGGCAGACUAGAGGCAGGUAGGGGAGAACGGAAUUCCCGGUGUAGCGGUGAAAUGUGCAGAUAUCGGGAGGAACACCGGUGGCGAAGGCGGUUCUCUGGGCCUGUACUGACGCUGAGGAGCGAAAGCGUGGGGAGCGAACAGG
rnacentral:rRNA from 1 species